ACUACACUUCCUCUAAUGUUCAUAUUACUAGACAUUCUUGGUAACCACAGCCUGUUUAUGAUGAAAAAUAAUCUCGAAGGGCAGAGCAGAAGGGAGUCCAAGGGUAUUGUCGAAGUACUCCUUUGAAGCCCUUCAAGAGACUCCUGUCAUCCUCUUCAGGCCCCCUUUUUUGUUAGAUCACCAACUCCUGAAGAACAGGAACGAUGGUGUCUUUCAUCUUCAGAGCUGUGGUGCCUGGCACACAGUGGGGAGUCAGCAAAUGUUUCCAGCACUCCAUCAGUUCCUCCCUCCCCCCAUUUCUGGGCCCCAUUUGCUAUCAAGUAUAGCAGCUUCUAUGAUGCAUCCUACGACAAAGUGACAUGGGAUAAUGACCAGCCUAUGUUACAGCCUGCUCCAUGCUGGCCUCAGGAAGCAAACCUCACUAUUUACCUAAAACUCCACCGUAGGAGAAAACUGACUUGGGAUUAAUUACAAAUAAAGAGCAUUUGUCUUUCCAAAGUAGCAA
rnacentral:lncRNA from 10 species